rnacentral:lncRNA from 1 species
UUGAGGGAUCAUAGAUGUAUUUUUCAGAAUUUUCUAUCGUGCAUAGACGGAUUUUAGACCACGGGAGCACCUGAAAGUGCAACUAUCCCUAGGUGGUUUUGGUAAUUCAUAACAACAUAUAGCUCAUUGGGCUAAUGCUAUUCCAAGAUAAUUAUUUCAGGAAAGCUCAAUGAUUGGCAUGGCAUGGAUGUGAAAGUGGAACCCUCAAAAUGCUAAGGACAAAGGAUUGGCUCAAGCUCAAAAGCUCAAGACUCUUCAUUUUAUAUUUUAGUGAUCCAAGAUCACAUUGAGUCUUUAGGAAAAGCCAAUACUAUCAAGGAGGGAUGAGGUGUUGCUUAAUGAGCCUCUUGCUUCAUGUGCUUAGUGAUAUGCUCCAAAACCCUCAACUACUUUCCCAUAUCCACAUUUGACCUAAACCCUAAGCCAAACUCGGUCCUACCGAUUCUUCCUAUUCGGCGCCAUCGAGUUUUCACUUGUCAUUAGCCACUGCCAAACCCUAGCAAUUCGGUCCUACCGAUAAGGAUCUCGGUCUCACUGAGAUGGGAUUGCAAACUCUCUGUUUCCCUUUCGUAACUUUUCGGUCUCACCGAAAGAGCGAAUCGGUCCCACCGAGAUUGCAAUGUAAACUCGGUGUUUCCCCUUUGUAACUUUUCGGUCUCACCGAAAGAGCAAAUCGGUCCCACCGAGUUUGCCUGACCAACUCUCUGGUUAGCUAAUUACCAAAUUCGGUCUCACCGAGUUUGUGUAAUCGGUCUCACCGAGAUUACAUUAUGCCCAAACCCUAACCAUAUCGGUCCUACCGAGUUGCAUGUCAGUCCCACCGAAAAUCUCUAACGGUCACUAGGUUUACAUUUUCGGUCCGACCGAGUUUAUUGAUUCGGUCCCACCGAGAUUGGAAAACUGUGUAACGGUUGGAUUUUGUGUGGAGGCUAUAUAUACCCCUCCACCUCCUCUUCAUUCGUGGAGAGAGCCAUCAGAACACAUACACCAUUCCAACUCAUAUGUUCUGAGAGAGAACCACCUACUCAUGUGUUGAGACCAAGAUAUUCCAUUCCUACCAUAUGAAUCUUGAUAUCUAGCCUUCCCAAGUUGCUUUCCACUCAAAUCAUCUUUCCACCAAAUCCAAAUCCUAUGAGAGAGAGUUGAGUGUUGGGGAGACUAUCAUUUGAAGCACAAGAGCAAGGAGUUCAUUACCUACACACCAUUUGUUACUUCUUGGAGAGUUGUGUCUCCUAGAUUGGCUAGGUGUCACUUGGGAGCCUCCGACAAGAUUGUGGACUUGAACCAAGGAGUUGUAAGGGCAAGGAGAUCGCCUACUUCAUGAAGAUCUACCGCUAGUGAGGCAAGUCCUGUGUGGGCGAUGGCCAUUGUGGGAUAGACAAGGUUGCUUCUUCGUGGACCCUUUGUGGGUGGUUGCUUCUUCGUGGACCCUUCGUGGGUGGAGCCCUGUGUGGACUCGCGCAACCGUUACCCUUCGUGGGUUGAAGUCUCCAUCAACGUGGAUGUAGGAUAGCACCACCUAUCCGAACCACGGGAAAAACAUCCGUGUCUCCAAUUGCGUUUGAAUUCUCCAAACCCUUCCCUUUACAUUCUUGCAAGUUGCAUGCUUUAUUUUCCGCUGCCUAUAUACUCUUUGCAUGCUUGCUUGAAUUAUGUGAUGAUUGCUUGACUUGUUCUAAAUUAGCUAAAAUCUGCCAAGAACUAAAAUUGGGAAAAGGUUAAGUUUUUAUUGGGUCAAGUAGUCUAAUCACCCCCCCCUCUAGACAUACUUUCGAUCCUACGAGUGGUAUCAGAGCUUUGGUCUCCAUAGCUUUGGUGGUCAUAGCCUUGGUUUCACAACCUAGGAGAGUAUGGCGUCUAGCGAGGGAAAUUAUCACCGUAGAGGUCCUUACUUUGAUGGUACUAAUUUUGCUAGUUGGAAGCAUAAAAUAAAAAUGCAUAUUCUUGGACAUAACCCCGCCGUUUGGGCUAUUGUGUGUGUUGGUUUGCAAGGUGACUUCUUUGAUGGGAGAGAACCAAACCGUGAAGCUACCGUGGAUGAGUUGAAGAUGUUGCAAUACAAUGCUCAAGCUUGUGAUAUUCUCUUCAACGGAUUGUGCCCCGAAGAAUUCAACAAAAUCAGCCGUCUUGAGAAUGCGAAGGAAAUUUGGGACACUUUGAUUGAUAUGCACGAAGGUACCAACUCCGUCAAGGAAUCCAAGCUGGAUGUACUUCAAAGCCAACUUGACAAGUUCAAGAUGAAGGAUGGUGAAGGUGUCGCUGAAAUGUACUCUAGGAUUGCUCUCAUCACAAAUGAGAUUGCCGGCUUAGGAAGUGAAGAGAUGACCAAUAAAUUCAUCAUCAAGAAGAUUCUAAGAGCCUUGGAUGGAAAAUAUGAUACCGUGUGCACAUUGAUCCAAAUGAUGCCCAAUUACAAAGAUCUCAAGCCAACGGAGGUGAUUGGAAGAAUUGUUGCUCAUGAGAUGUCAUUUAAGGAUAAAGAGGAACUUCACAACAGAUCAAGUGGUGCCUAUAAAGCCUCAUGUGAAGCCCCUACAUCAUCAAGUGAGAAACAAGACUUCAAUGAAGAAUUGAGCUUAAUGGUGAAGAACUUCAACAAGUUCUACAAGAGUAGAAGCAAAGAUAAAAGCUCCAAGUCAAGGUCCUACAAUGACAAAAGAUCUUCUAGUCGAGAGCGAAACUGCUACAAUUGUGGAAGACUCGGACACUAUUCCAAUGAGUGUACGGCUCCCUACAAGAGAAGAGAAGAUUCUCCAAGAAGAAGAAGCAAAGAAUCACCACCAAGAGAGAGAAGGAGUAGAGAUGAUCGUUAUGAACGAAGAUACUCACGGAGAAGCAAGGAUUCGGAAAGGAAGGAAAAAUCAUCAAGGAGCUACACAAGACGAAGACAUCAAGCUCAUGUUGGUGAAUGGGUAUCCGGCUCCGACUCCGACAGCCACUCCGAGAGAAGUUAUCACUCCGACUCCGAAGAUACUCAAGAUGAAGGUGUUGCCGGUCUAGCACUUGUGUCAACCAACUCCUACGACAUAUUUGACUCACCAAAUGAAGGAAUUGGAAGAUGCUUCAUGGCCAAAGGUCCUAAGGUAACACACCCCGAGUAUGUUGAUUUCAAUAGUGAUGAAGAUGACUUGUUAGGUGAUGAUUUGCUUGUUGACAACUCUAGUGAUGAAUACUAUGAUGAAAUGUCAAUUAAACAUGCUAAUCGAGAUAAAAUGAAUGAAAAUGAUAAGGAGAAGAUUGAGGCCCUAACUAAAGAACUAAACACUCUUAAGUUAGCUCAUGAAACCAUCUUCGAAGAUCAUCGAGAACUUUUAAGAGCUCAUGAGAAAUUACGCUUUGAAAAGCUCAAUCUUGAGCAAGAGCAUGAGUUCUUAAAAGCAAUCAAUGAUGAUCUCCGCAAGAAAAGUUCUUCUUACAUUGCCAAGCGUUUACUCUUAUCCACUUACAUGCCUCAAGUCAAGUCUAGUAACAAGAACAAGAAAGAUUCUUCCUCUAGUAGUAACAAUGAUCAUGCUAAAUCCAAUAUUGUUACUUCUAGUAGCUCUCUUGAUUCCACUAAUGAUUCUCUUAGCCAAGUUACACUUGAGCAAGAAAAUAGUUUAUUGAAGGGAAUUAUAGAGAAAGAAGUGUACAAAAGCCUUGCCGGGAGUAAGCAAUUCGAGGAAAUUGUGCGCAAGCAAGGAAUGCACCGGAAGAAUCAAGGUGUUGGUUUUGAACAAAAGUUCAAUGCCAAUGGAGUUGAGUGGGAAGAAGAUCAAUACCCCAAGACAAAGUUUGUCCCUCAACAAGAGAAGUAUACUUCUUUCAAGGGGACACAAGCUCAAGAUGAUCUUCCACCACAAGACUACAAGCAAAAAGGCAAGGACAAGCUUAAAGAGGAAAUUGAUGCAUUUGAAGAACCUCCAAAGACCUUAGUCAAGUGGAUUCCCAAGACUACUUCAAGUUCCACUUCAUCAAGUACGACUACAACUCCAAGGAUUCCCAUCAAGAUGAUGUGGAUCCAAAAGAAGAAGAACUAGAGAGUUCUUGAGGGUGACUCCGCCAACAUACUUCACUCUUAUCAUUUUGGCAAGAACAAGUGCAAUCAACUUCCACAUCAUGCACUAGUUCAAGGAGUCACAAACCCUCUUGUUGGUAAGACAAGGGACAAGGUAACCUAAAAGUUUUCAUGUACAUCAUCUUUUGUGUGCAUCACUCUAUGUCUAUGGAUAUCCUUGUUUGUUCCUUGUGGGACUAACCCAUGUAGGUAUUGAAAGUGCAAUUCACUCAAAUGGAUAGCUCCAAGUGAUCUACAUCAACAUUGAGCAUCCACAUCUUCAACAUCUACAUGAAGUCAUCAUCGACAAAACCCAAGGUUAGUUCAUCCCUCUUAGGGGGGAUAUCACAUCUAGGGGGAGCUUUACUCUAAGACUUAAGCUAAAGCAACUCUAAAGAUGUGAACAAAACAAUGCUUUAUGUAAAAGUGGUAACCCCACUUGAGCUUAAACGAUGAGUAUGACCUAUGAUCAAGUGUUCUCACUUGACUCCUAAGUCAAUAUACUCAUAUAUAGAUGACCUUGUCAUCGCAAAUUGCUUGAUAGAUGCUAGAAUUGGUUGUGCAUGCCUUGCCACAUAUUUCAUUUGCCAUCUUAUUGUGUGAGCAUGUUGGUUGCAUACUUUACUCAUUCGAGGACAUCCACUUGUUGUUUUGAUUGUUCGGUUUUAUCUUCUUUUGCCAAGUGGAUGGACAAGAAUGCCUAAGAACCUCCUCUAGCUAUAUAUGCUGUUCUCAUCUCAAACUCUAUUCAUGCUGCAUCACAAAAUUUGAUCAAGUCAGAUUCGAACCACUCUGUGUGAGGAGCGCUCGGAGUCCCCGAUUCGUCAUAGACUUAAACUUCCAAAACCUCUUUAUGAUUCUCGGUCUGACCGAUACUCCACUUCGGUCCUACCGAGAUCAUUAAGUUGAUCUAGGUUUUCGAUCUUGGUGCAACCGAUUUGAACAUUUCGGUCACACCGAGUUUCAGUAACUGCUUGCAGUUAUGAAUCUCGGUGCCACCGAGUUGUUCCACUCGGUCACACCGACAGGGUUGGGCUAUAUAUAGUCACGGGCAAAAUUUUGGAAAUUUCUCCGAACCCCUUCGCCCGCGCGAUAGCCUGCUCUGCCCUCGUGGUCUCCGGAUCGUCUUCUCGCCGCCAGCCGCCUCCAGUCGCUGGUCUUCGUCGCCGUCAAUGGGAAUUCUGCCCCGCCGUUGCCGCCGUAGCAAGUCUCCGCCGAACUAGGGUAUGGACUUGAUCACAGUGCUAUUCCCCGUCCAAUUCCUAGCACAUUGUGUUCUUCAUGAUUCUUGCCACAAUUGAAACACUCCCAUCCAGUCAAUGUGCCCGUAGAUUAGCUUUGAUUCGAAAAUUUUAGGGUUAGGUUUCCACCGAAACCAUCUCGGACCCACCGAGUUGAAAAACUCGGUCCCACCGAUUUGGCUUAUGCCAUUGCCCAAGUGAGACCCGGUCUGACCGAGAAUUACUUAUCGGUGUGACCGAUUUUGGAAUUCAGUGAAACCCUAGCAGUCUCGGUGCCACCGAACUGUGACUCGGUCCAACCGAGUUCACCAGUUUAGGUGCCAAAACUGCUUCGGUAUCACCGAGUUUAAAAAUCGGUAGAUCCGAGUUGAUUUCAGUGGGAAACUAAAACUAAGUUUUUGAAUCAUUCUUUUGCAAAAAUCUCUGCAUUUUGUGAUGCUCAUCUAGUCUAUCUCAUCUAUAAACUAUUCACAGGGUCAGCAGUCAGUGCAGCAUGUCUGAUCAAAGUGAUAGCCAAAAUAUGUCAGAGCAGCAGAUGCACAUGAGUGAGGGCACUAGUCCCUCCAGCUCUUCUGAUGAAGGCAGCAGGAGCACUCCUAGCAAUUUGCCAAAGGCUGCCACGAGACAGAGGAAGAAGAGGACUUCAGAUUCCGAAGAUGAGGACUAUGUGGCAGAGGAAGAGGCCACUUCCAAAAGAGUUGAGCCAGCUCAAGGCACAAAGCCAGGGCUGAAAAUCAAAAGGCCAGCAGGCAGGCAGCCAAUGUCAAAGGCCAGAAUGUCAACUGAGAAGCCCAUAGAGCCAGUUGCAGCUGAGGGCAAGAAAAGAAAGGAAAGGGUGAAGAAGACUGUGGCUAGAGUGCUUGGCAAAGCUUCCAUCAUGGAAGAGGAAGAAGAAGAAGAGGUAGCUGCACCAGCACCCAAGGCACCCAAGCUAAUGGGAGAUGCCAUAAAAUCAGGGGGAGCUGCUUCCAAGGCCAAGCUAGCUCCAAAGCCAAAGCCAAAGAGGAAUACAAGAAGCAUUCCUGCAGCUGAGAAGAACAAGGCCCCAGUGCCUGAGACUGUUGCUGAAGAAGAGGAUGAAGAGAAAAUUCUGAGAAAGCUAAAGCCCAAGAUCCCAGACCACAACGAUGCUCAUCCUGUGGCUGAGGAUAUGAAGCUCAGGAGAGAUUUAGGGCUGAGGAAGUGGAGAGAAGCAGACCCAUAUGCUUCAAGGAGAAGGACAGCAGUUGACUACAGGUUUCACACCAAGGAGCAGCAGAAUUUUUAUGAGACAGUGCUGCUAGAUAAGAAGCCCAUUGUCUCUGAUAUGCGAUGGGUUGAUUGGAAAUACAUUAAGGACAAUGAGGAGCACUAUCCUGGAGUGCAAGACAGCUUCAUAGCUUGUGGAGUAGCUGACUUUGUUGGGCAGAAGCUCACAAAGUGGAAUGAGGAACUUAUCAUGCAGUUCUACUCCACGACACACUUCUACCCAGAUGGGAGGAUCACAUGGAUGUCUGAGGGUACAAGGUACCAAUCCACAGUUGCUGAGUGGGCACAUAUCAUUAAUGCCCCAGAGGAGCAAGAUGAUGACUUGGAUAUCUAUGCCAAGAAGAAGAUGGACCACAACUCAAUGUCAAAUAUGUACAAGGAGAUCCCAAAUGAAGCACUUGAUACCUUCAAUUUUGGCUCAGUACAUUACCUUCUGUCAGGGCUCCCGACUAUCAAUUGGAUCUUGAGGCACACCUUAUUGCCCAAGUCAAGUGAUCACAAGAUGAUCAGAGGCCAUGCUAUCAACUUGCUACAUGUAUUUGAUGUACCUCAGAAGUUCAAAGUGAUGAGCCUCAUAGUGGAAACAAUCAAGAGGACUGCAGCAGAUCAGAAGAGGAGUUGCGGAUAUGCCCCUCAAAUUCAGGAGCUCAUCAACUCCAAGAUGGGCACGGGCAUAUAUUUAUUGGACAAGGAACAUUUGCCCAUCCGUCCAGAUUUUGAGGACAAUCAAGUUGUCAUGACUGAGAACGAGCCAUCAUCUGCCCAAGCAUACGCAAAGAAGGAGAAGGCGAGGAAGGAGAAAGCUGCCAAGAUGCCUACUCAAGAGGAGGCAUCUGAGUAUUUCUUGAAGACUAAACAAGAGCAGCUUGGUUACUUGAUUGCAUCCACGCUGAGGAUUGAGCAAAGUCUAGCGACCCUCACUCAGAAUCAGCAGAGCCUAGAGAGAAUCAUGGAACAGAAGUUCUAUGACUUGGAUGUCAAAGUAACGGAAGUUCAGUCUGCAGUGGAGCAGCUCCAGGAGGACAUGCAGGAGAGGAGAGGCAGGACUACCACUCAUGCCUUUGCCAGAGUGCCAAGAGGUCCGAGGUCGUCUGCCGUGCCAGUUGCUGACACAAGAGCCACCACCUCAGCACCAGCCACAGCCUCAGUUCCACCAGCUCCAGCAUCUACUUCAGCUCCAACUCCAGCGUCUACUUCAGCAUCUACCGAAGCCUUCGUCCUUAGAGUGAUCCGGACUCCACCACCACCUGAAGAUCAAGCCUGAGCGUCGAUCUAGUGCUAUGCAUUUUCUAGGAACUUUUUGGUAACUUGUUGCCAAAGGGGGAGAAGGUGUAUAGAUCAUAGGCUUCGAGAGAGAGAGAGUGUUGCCUUUUCUCUCUUGCUUUAUUUGGUGGUUUUUCGAACUUGUUUGCUUUUGAGUGCUUGAGAUACUAUGCUUGUGAGACAUUGAUGAUCAUGUGUUUGAUCAUAAGCUACACUUAAUGCUUGCUUAUUUCUAUUAUCCUAUCUAUCUUGUGUGAUCAUUCACUAUUGGUGAUGAGUGCAUGUAUUUCAUUCUUAUCAUUUUAAGCGCUCCACCAAGAUGUAUGUGACAUGGAAGAGUAACCCAUGACUCUAACUCUUUGUGCAUUUGCAGUCCAAAGCAAAUUUUAAAUAUGCAAAAAUUUAGGGGGAGCUCUUACUUAUCACAUACUUCUCAAAGCGACGAUAUAUUUCAUGCUUAUUAUCAUUUGUCGAAGCUUUGAUCUAUAUGUUGUCAUCAAUUACCAAAAAGGGGGAGAUUGAAACAUCUGUGGACUCGCGCAACCGUUACCCUUGGGUGGAGCCCUGUGUGGACUCGCGCAACCGUUACCCUUGGGUGGAGCCCUGUGUGGACUCGCGCAACCGUUACCCUUCAUGGGUUGAAGUCUCCAUCAACGUGGAUGUAGGAUAGCACCACCUAUCCGAACCACGGGAAAAACAUCCGUGUCUCCAAUUGCGUUUGAAUUCUCCAAACCCUUCCCUUUACAUUCUUGCAAGUUGCAUGCUUUAUUUUCCGCUGCCUAUAUACUCUUUGCAUGCUUGCUUGAAUUAUGUGAUGAUUGCUUGACUUGUUCUAAAUUAGCUAAAAUCUGCCAAGAACUAAAAUUGGGAAAAGGUUAAGUUUUUAUUGGGUCAAGUAGUCUAAUCACCCCCCUCUAGACAUACUUUCGAUCCUACAACACCCCCUCUCUAUCGUUGCAAAAUUUGCUAAGUGAUAUUAAGAAGGAAGGAAAAGAAGUAUAGGAAAGAAAGAAAAUAAGAAGAGGAAAGAAAGAAGAAGAGGAGAGGAAGAAGAGGAGAAAUAAAUAAGAAGAAGAAAAAAGAAGAAAAA